AUGCAGGAGGCACCAAACAGAGUCUUAGCCCUCAAACAGAGCUUUCAAAAGGCAAAAACAGUAGAAUAUCUAACAAUAAUAGUGUAUUACUACAGGAAGGGUAAGAAAAUAAAUUCAAAUCAACUGGAGAAUAACCAGUCCCAAGAGAACUCCAUCAAUCCAGGCCAAGAGGAAGAGGACAAAGACCUAGACUCAUCUGAAUUAUCUUCACAGGAGGACGAAGACCUAUACUCAUCUGAAAUAUCUUCACAGGAGGACGAAGACCUAGACUCAUCUGAAGGAUCUUCACAGGAGUAUGAAGACCUAGACUCAUCUGAAGGAUCUUCACAGGAGUAUGAAGACCUAGACUCAUUUGAAAUAUCUUCACAAGAGGACGAAGACCUAUUCUCAUCUGAAAUAUCUUCACAGGAGGAUGAAGACCCAUACUUAUCUGAAGGAUCUUCACAGGAGGGUGAGGAGGACUAG